rnacentral:rRNA from 1 species
AGGGUGAACGGCCACAAGGGGACUGAGACACGGCCCUUACUCCUACGGGAGGCAGCAGUGGGGAAUAUUGGACAAUGGACCGCAAGUCUGAUCCAGCAAUUCUGUGUGCACGAUGACGUUUUUCGGACUGUAAAGUGCUUUCAGUCGGGAAGAAGUCAGUGACGGUACCGACAGAAGAAGCGACGGCUAAAUACGUGCCAGCAGCCGCG